UUAAGACCGAGGAAACUCAAUCUCGAUCUUCUUUCGGGGAGAGGAUUUUUUUUUCCCCAUCUUCCCUUCCUUUCUAAUUUCUCUCUCUUAUUCCCUUCUCUGCUUAUAUUAGGUAGCUGAAAAAAUAAAGAGAUCAAAAGAGACUGAAAAUUUCUUCGAGAGAUUAACCAAGGAUGGAUCUUGUUUGUAGCUUUCUGGAUUGGGGUAUCAUUUAUUGAUUAUUGUUGUUUUAGAAUUUUGGAGUUUUGAUUCAGGCCAGGGCUAAAGAAAAUCAUGCAAUCUGAAGUUUAUUCUUUUCAAAAAUUUACUGCCGAGAGAGAGAGAGAGAGAGAGAGUUGGAAAUAUAAACAAGAUCUGGUUAAAGGGCUUAAGUUUGAUUUUUGUAGGAAGACAACUCUUGCUGUGAAUUGAUCUAUGAAUUCAAUUAAAAUCAAGCAAAGAGAAGCAGACACGGUAUGGUACUCUUAGCCCAAAGAAUAAUUUCAGUUUGCAUCCUUUAAGCUUUCAAGCCCUUUGCUAUGUGCUUCUCAUUUUGUGUUGAUACAUGUCAAAAUCAGAGCCUCUAAUUUACCAUUUCACAUGUAUUUUCAUGCGGCAGCUUGCAUGUGUUUGAUGAAAGGUCUAAGAGAAGUUUGGUAAAUAAAAAAAAGGGGUUGUUCUCUACAUGAGCUAUUUGACUUUUGGGCUACUGUUUACGAUUUAAUACAUCUAUUUGCAUGUGAGAUAAUUAAGGUAAAACCUUUUGCGUUUAUGAGAAUGGUUCUAGCUGGUUUUAUAAUUAUUGUCUUGUAUUUGGUUAACCAAGAUUUGAACUUCUAUGAACGUUUUAGCAUAUAGAUGAGAUGCUCAACUUGAAUUAAUAACCAACAACUCUCAGUAUUUUGGUUUGUGGAUUUAACUCCAAUUGAUGAGAUGCUCAAGUUUAAUAAUUCUAUUUAUCACCAUCCAUAUGAACCAUGUACAUAUCAGUGUACUCUAUGGACCUAGUGCAAAUGAUUUUGGCUUAUAUACUUCUCUAUAUGACUUGCAAAUUCCAAGUGUCAAAUAGCAUUUUAGAUUAUACAUUUUGUUUGAUCCCCGUGCUAUAUCCAGUUAACUAUAUAUCCAUACUUUAUUUUAGGAUCAUGAGUUGCACAUGUAGUGGGGAUUGAGAAUGAAGUGAAUUAGGCAACUUGAGUUAGCCUUGCAAGUGCCUUAAUAGAAUUAAUAUUUGGUUGAAUCAAAUGGCGUUUAACUUUUAAUAGUAAAAGUAUAUGUAAAAUGUGUGUCUUCAAUCUUGCUCAUCCGUUUAUGAGGUUCUUACUAAGAAAUGUGAAUUUUCUUAAAUUUAUUACUCUUAUGAUGGAACUGCGUAUCCAUUUCCUUUAAUGGAUUUCUAUCCCACUUAGUGGUUUUUAUUAAUUUCAUUGAUACUUCGGAUAAAUUGAAAGAUGCAUAGACUCAAAUGAAACUUGGAUCCAUUCUUUGGAAAAGAGACACAUCAACCUAAUGGAUGAAAAGUAUAUUUCUAUUUUGAGGGACUGAAACGGAGUUAGUAUAUCUCACUAAGCCAACGGGUUAAACCCAAAAAAUGUAAAACCCGUUAAUUGAGUUGCUACUGAUUCUAAUAUGCAAGUGAAAUAUUUUGGGUAUUUCAUUUUCAUUGAUCAUCUUUGUGGAAAGUAUAUUUUUCGUGAUCUUUUUAGUCGGAAGAGCUAUUAAUACGUCGUUAGAAGUUUGUGCUAGAGCUGGCAAAAAAAAUGAGAUGGAUCAUCGGGCGUUGAUGCUUAUGCUAUCACUGUUUUAUACGGUACCGUUGGUAAUGUAGUAAGAUAGAGAUAGUUACUGUUAAGGGGUGCAGUUCAUACUAUCUAAACAAACAAAUGUGACGAACUACGGUCGUGCUUGAUCCAUUCGAGCAACGGAGAGGGUACAUAGGCAGCCGCUAUGCGGUUCAGCACAAUCCCAAAAGGUUGUUCAUAUCGUCUGGAAAGGGUUGGUUGAUGCUUUGCGGUUCAUACCUUCCAUUUGGAGAUGAUUGCAACCUUGGCGAGAAUAUAUCAUGGGCAACUGGCUAGUGAUGGCUGGUAACCAGAACUACCUUAAUUUGGCAACUGGCCGUCUGUUAUUUUGGGCAAUUGGCACGUGUUAAUUUGGCAACUGGCCGUCUGUUAUUUUGGGUAAUUGGCACGUGUUAAUUUGGCAACUGGCCGUCUGUUAUUUUGGGCAAUUGGCCCGUAUUGAUUUUGGCAACUGGCUGUAUAAGUUAUUGGGUUGGCAAUUGACCAAAUUUUAUUUUAGGCAA